rnacentral:lncRNA from 12 species
GUCUGGAAUUGUUCAAGCUGGCUUUGGGCAUUGUAUGUGUCUCCAACUCCUGUGAUACUGCAUAGUCUGUGUUUAAAUAGCAGAUUUAAAAUAAACAAUGAUAGCUUAGUGAAUUAAAGAUGAAAACUCAAAGCCCAAAUUAUUUUAAUUGUUACCCCAUGAGACCCCUUGGAGAUUUGGGGCUUGAAAUUUAAAACAGUAACUCCAAAACAUAACACUUUUGCGCAGUAAAUGCAAAUAUUAGUUCUCAAAUGAAAUAUUUUACUGAAUUUUGAAUAACAUGCUUAAAAUAGAACUUUCUUCUUUUUCAGUUAAUUGUUUAACACCUAAAGAUAACAAAUACAUCAAAAAAUAAUGGUCAUUACUCAUACAACAUGAGUAUAACUGACACUAAUUUUAUACUAUGGACAAGGAAGUGUUAAAAAAUGAUAUCCUGCAAGCAUCAAAUAUACUGGGUCCUCUCUGAGGUGUACGUCAGAUUCCUGAGAGUUGGAGGAAUAAUGCUCGUGGUUAAUACUAUUUUCACUGGGAGAGAGUAAGAUGUGUUCAACAUUGGUCCCGUGGCACUCUUGCCAACAUUAGUGCAAAUAUUAUGCCUAAAACAAAUAAAAUGCACAAACAAUAACAACAAAUCAUAGCUUCUGGUUAACGCAAAGAAUUAAAUGUAAAAUUGAUGAUAGUAGCUAGCAAAAUAUUGGCUGGAAGAAGUUACUUAUUUACUUGGAUUCUGGUUUGUAACUAUCAUCCCUAGGUUUGCACUUUAAUGCAGAGUUCCCUUUCCUGGGUGCCACCUCUCGCCCAGGCCCAGUAUGACACACAUGCAGGCCUCAAAAGGCCUGGGCUGGGUGCUGUCUCUGCUAUCAAUGGCUCUACCCCCUGCCAGCUUCAGGGAUGUGGAAACAAGGCUCAAGACGAAGAGGCAUUACCUUAGAGUUUUGACCAUCGAUCUGCUGCUCUUAACUGGAACACUU